rnacentral:rRNA from 1 species
UGCAGUCGAGCGGAUUUAUCCUUCGGGAUAAGUUAGCGGCGGACGGGUGAGUAACACGUAGGUAACCUGCCUAUAAGAUCGGGAUAACUAUCGGAAACGAUAGCUAAGACCGGAUAACUGGUUUUCUCGCAUGAGAGAAUUAUGAAACACGGAGCUAUCUGUGGCUUAUAGAUGGGCCUGCGGCGCAUUAGCUAGUUGGUAGGGUAACGGCCUACCAAGGCGACGAUGCGUAGCCGACCUGAGAGGGUGAACGGCCACACUGGGACUGAGACACGGCCCAGACUCCUACGGGAGGCAGCAGUAGGGAAUCUUCCGCAAUGGACGCAAGUCUGACGGAGCAACGCCGCGUGAGUGAUGAAGGUUUUCGGAUCGUAAAGCUCUGUUGCCCUAGACGAACAGCAAGAAGAGUAACUGCCCUUUGUGUGACGGUAUAGGAGAAGAAAGCCCCGGCUAACUACGUGCCAGCAGCCGCGGUAAUACGUAGGGGGCAAGCGUUGUCCGGAAUUAUUGGGCGUAAAGCGCGCGCAGGCGGUCAAUUAAGUUGGGUGUUUAAGCCCGGGGCUCAACCCCGGUUCGCAUCCAAAACUGGUUGACUUGAGUGUAGGAGAGGAAAGUGGAAUUCCACGUGUAGCGGUGAAAUGCGUAGAGAU